rnacentral:misc_RNA from 1 species
GAACGCACAUUGCGCCCUUUGGCAUUCCAUAGGGCAUGCCUGUUCGAGCGUCACUAACAACCCCAUCACAAAGAGUGUGGUAUUGGCAGAAGUGGGUAGGGCUGGCAGUGCUGGCCCCACUCUGCUGGAAUGAAUAGGCCGGAAAUGUAGACCAUGGUGACAGACUUUCAGAGUAUCUCGUAAUGCUAAAUUAGUUUGUAGGCCGGUCAGAAUCCAGGCUGUUGGACCCCCAUUCUGUGUAAAGCAGUAAUGUUGACCUCGGAUCAGGUAGGGAUACCCGCUGAACUUAAG